rnacentral:rRNA from 1 species
GACAGAGGGUGCUAGCGUUGUUCGGAAUUACUGGGCGUAAAGCGCACGUAGGCGGAUUGUUAAGUCGGGGGUGAAAUCCUGGAGCUCAACUCCAGAACUGCCUUCGAUACUGGCGAUCUUGAGUCCGGGAGAGGUGAGUGGAACUCCGAGUGUAGAGGUGAAAUUCGUAGAUAUUCGGAAGAACACCAGUGGCGAAGGCGGCUCACUGGCCCGGUACUGACGCUGAGGUGCGAAAGCGUGGGGAGCAAACAGG